UGUGCUCUGAAAAGAGACUCAUGUUGC
rnacentral:piRNA from 1 species